UACAAAUCGCUUCCAAACAUCCCAACACUAACACCGUCGAUCAUCGGAAUCCUGAAAAAAGAUUACUCGUUAGUUAAAAUUGCCACUAAAACAGAAAAGAGUGUCAAAACUCUUCUAAGACCAGUCAAAGACCCAGUCCCUCAGCUAGAUCAAAAUAACAUUGUUUACAGCAUUCCCUGUACAGACUGCGAUAGGGUUUAUAUUGGCAUGACCACCAACCAGCUCAAAAAGCGAUUAAGUGGUCAUAGAUCCAAUAUAAACAAACUAACACAAUCCAACAUUGAUGUAGAACAAGCAAAAACUGCAUUGAUCAAACACAUGAUUGAGGAACAACACACUUUUAACUUGGAAGGCACGAAAAUAGUCGAUCGUACAUUCCGGUCCACAGCCUUACCAAUGUUAGAAAUGUGUCAUAUCCAGAACACACCACACACAGUAAAUUUCCGUACAGAUGUAGAUAGCUUGCACACUACUUACGCAGGGAUUCUACACACAGUGAAAAGCACACUCACUGGCCGAAAACAAUCCCGCCGUAAUACACAGCAUUUAGCAGUCGACACUACCAAUCAUACCGAAUAGCCGAUCAAACGAUAGCCGCCAUGAUUCAAACCUACAGUUAAUGUUAGAUAGAUGUAUGUCGCUCGCUGUUAUCUGUAGUGUGCAGUGCAAGUUGUCCCAAAAAGAUCAAGAAAAAUUUAUGUGUUUUAUGUUAAAUGGCAUUACAAGAAGCUCCAACUCUCAAACUGCAUUCAAAAACCGCAUAACGAGAGACGGUUGACUGCUUAUCCCUUGAAAAAGGUCCAAUACACGGGACCGAAACGUCGGGCUAUGCCAAACUAGCCGUUUCAAUGCUCUUAGACUGAGAAAGCCACAACAGUUCAACAGUUUUUUUUAC